GUACGUGCACNUGCGGAAGGAUCAUUA
rnacentral:rRNA from 1 species